UUACACAUGCAGUCGAGCGAGAGCAGCUGAGGGGUUACCUCGGUUGGGACAGCGGCGGAACGGGGUGCGUAACACGUGGGCAACUGCCCCUGACACUGGGAUACCCGGGAAACCGGAGCUAAUACCGGAUACUCUCGGCCGAUCACAUGGCUGCGAGGAAAGGUCCGCGGUCAGGGAUGGGCCCGGGCUAUCAGUUGUGGGAGGUAACGGCCACCAAGGGAGAGGGUAUGGCUGAAGGAUACACAAUGAACGAAUAGGUCCAGACUCCUACGGGAGGCAGCAGUGGGGAAUAUUGCACAAUGGGCGAAAGCCUGAUGCAGCGACGCCGCGUGAGGGAUGAAGGCCUUCGGGUCGUAAACCUCUUUCGGCAGGGACGAAGCGAUCAGUGACGGUACCUGCAGAAGAAGCCCCGGCUAACUACGUGCCAGCAGCCGCGGUAAUACGUAGGGGGCAAGCGUUGUCCGGAUUUAUUGGGCGUAAAGAGCGUGUAGCGGUAAUAGGUCCGUUGUGAAAACUCGAGGUCAACUCGAACGUCAUGGAAACCAUCUGGCUAGAGUCCGGAA
rnacentral:rRNA from 1 species